UACGUAGGGUGCAAGCGUUAAUCGGAAUUACUGGGCGUAAAGGGUGCGCAGGCGGCCUGGCAAGAAAGGUGUGAAAUCCCAGGGCUUAACCUUGGAAUGGCACUUUUAACUGCCAAGCUAGAGUAUGUCAGAGGGGGGUAGAAUUCCACGUGUAGCAGUGAAAUGCGUAGAGAUGUGGAGGAAUACCGAUGGCGAAGGCAGCCCCCUGGGAUAAUACUGACGCUCAGGCACGAAAGCGUGGGGAGCAAACAGG
rnacentral:rRNA from 1 species